rnacentral:rRNA from 1 species
CGGACGUGAGGAACCUGCCUUGGAGUGGGGAAUAACAGUUAGAAAUAGCUGCUAAUACCGCAUAAUGCAGUUGGGUCGCAUGGCUCUGACUGCCAAAGAUUUAUCGCUCUGAGAUGGCCUCGCGUCUGAUUAGAUAGUUGGCGGGGUAACGGCCCACCAAGUCGACGAUCAGUAGCCGGACUGAGAGGUUGGCCGGCCACAUUGGGACUGAGACACGGCCCAGACUCCUACGGAAGGCAGCAG